rnacentral:lncRNA from 1 species
UUAAUCGUUUUGGAGAAUGAUGUGUGUGGCAAAGUUACAAGCAUUUUUAUUGUAGGGGCAAUUGCUUAUAUAUUCCUAAAAAGUUUUCGACUUUUCAAUUUACUCCUCUUAGAAGGCUAAUAUUGGAAAUACUCUUUUUACACUCCAACCUAUUUCUAAUAUAACCCUAGAGUUAAAAUCUGUUAAUGAACUCUGUUAUCUCUAUAAAAUUACUAUUUUGUCCUUUCAAAUAUGCCCUUUCACCAUCACCGACUUUCUUAUUUGCCCUUAAAGUCAGGAGCACAAAAAAUAUUUUGACUUUUGAUCUUUUUCAAUAUACUCUUCUACCGUCAUCAACAUUUCUUAUUUGCCCUUAAAUUAAGGGUAAAAUUGGUAUUUUAAUUUUUUUUAGCUGUGGUAGAUGUUUAACUCAUAUUUAACUCAAGUUAAUUUAACAAGAGAUAACUGUGGGGGUAUUUUGCAAUAACGGUGGAACAUAUGAAGGAUAUUUUAGAAAGAAAAAAAAAAAAGAAUAAAUCGGAUAUUUUCAAACGUAUGAGAGGUAUAUAGGUAAUUAUCCCUUU